CCUACGGGCGGCUGCAGUGAGGAAUAUUGGUCAAUGGGCGCAAGCCUGAACCAGCCAUCCCGCGUGCAGGAAGACGGCGCUAUGCGUUGUAAACUGCUUUUCCAGGGGGCGAACCUCCCGCACGAGUGCGGGACUGACGGUACCUUGGGAAUAAGCAUCGGCUAACUCCGUGCCAGCAGCCGCGGUAAUACGGAGGAUGCGAGCGUUAUCCGGAUUUAUUGGGUUUAAAGGGUGCGUAGGCGGAUUAAUAAGUCAGUGGUGAAAACCUGCAGCUUAACUGUAGAACUGCCGUUGAUACUGUUAGUCUUGAGUAUGGUCAAGGUAGGCGGAAUGUGUAAUGUAGCGGUGAAAUGCUUAGAUAUUACACAGAACACCGAUUGCGAAGGCAGCUUACUGGGCCGUUACUGACGCUGAUGCACGAAAGCGUGGGGAUCGAACAGGCUUAGAUACCCUGGUAGUC
rnacentral:rRNA from 1 species